rnacentral:misc_RNA from 1 species
CUCUGUUUCCCAUCCCCUCAUCUCUCCUGCCUUCAAUGGCUGGAAGCCCUCAAUAAUCUUCGUAAUUUCCUCCACAAUUGCUUGGUCUAGGGACAGCUUGUGGUUUNCGAUUUGUACCAUGGAUUUGUGUCAUGGUAGAAUGACAGUAUUCCAUCCCAGAGUGGAGGCCUUCAUGGUUUCUUAUUGCCCCAGAUCACAAUUUCUUGAAUUUAACCUCUACCCACGUCUCAGUUGGCUUGAUUCUUUUCAGCAUAGAGGUAGUAAACUUAGGCUUGAACUGAACUCUGUCAUUACAUCAAGAAUGUUGCAGCAACCACAUGCCUUGGUCAUCGCAAAUGAGUAUCCACAAAAUGCUGAUUUUCCUCGAAAUUAUUCGAGAAAGGAGAAAAAGCCCUUUCCAGUACCCAUUGUUGAAUUGAGACGAGCUGCAAGGGAGAGGCUCAAGAACAGGAAAGGCCGGCCUAAA